rnacentral:siRNA from 1 species
CACUGGAUCAAUGAGCCUAAA